rnacentral:rRNA from 1 species
ACAGCAGUAGCCACGGUAAUACGUAGGUGGCAAGCGUUGUCCGGAUUUAUUGGGCGUAAAGCGAGCGCAGGCGGUUUCUUAAGUCUGAUGUGAAAGCCCCCGGCUCAACCGGGGAGGGUAAUUGGAAACUGGGAGACUUGAGUGCAGAAGAGGAGAGUGGAAUUCCAUGUGUAGCGGUGAAAUGCGUAGAUAUAUGGAGGAACACCAGUGGCGAAGGCGGCUCUCUGGUCUGUAACUGACGCUGAGGCUCGAAAGCGUGGGGAGCGAACAGGAUUAGAUACCCCCGUAGUCCCUGUCUCUUAUAC